rnacentral:rRNA from 1 species
AGGCUGCAGUCGAGCGGUAACAGGAGAAGCUUGCUUCUCGCUGACGAGCGGCGGACGGGUGAGUAAUACUUAGGAAUCUACCUAGUAGUGGGGGAUAGCUCGGGGAAACUCGAAUUAAUACCGCAUACGACCUACGGGAGAAAGGGGGCAACUUGUUGCUCUCGCUAUUAGAUGAGCCUAAGUCGGAUUAGCUAGAUGGUGGGGUAAAGGCCUACCAUGGCGACGAUCUGUAGCUGGUCUGAGAGGAUGAUCAGCCACACCGGGACUGAGACACGGCCCGGACUCCUACGGGAGGCAGCAGUGGGGAAUAUUGGACAAUGGGGGCAACCCUGAUCCAGCCAUGCCGCGUGUGUGAAGAAGGCCUUUUGGUUGUAAAGCACUUUAAGCAGUGAAGAAGACUCUAUGGUUAAUACCCAUAGACGAUGACAUUAGCUGCAGAAUAAGCACCGGCUAACUCUGUGCCAGCAGCCGCGGUAAUACAGAGGGUGCAAGCGUUAAUCGGAAUUACUGGGCGUAAAGCGAGCGUAGGUGGCUUGAUAAGUCAGAUGUGAAAGCCCCGGGCUUAACCUGGGAACGGCAUCUGAUACUGUUAGGCUAGAGUAGGUGAGAGGAAGGUAGAAUUCCAGGUGUAGCGGUGAAAUGCGUAGAGAUCUGGAGGAAUACCGAUGGCGAAGGCAGCCUUCUGGCAUCAUACUGACACUGAGUUCGAAAGCGUGGGUAGCAAACAGGAUUAGAUACCCUGGUAGUCCACGCCGUAAACGAUGUCUACUAGUCGUUGGGUCCCUUGAGACUUAUGACGCAGCUAACGCAAUAAGUAGACCGCCUGGGGAUACGCCAAGGUUAAAACUCAAUGAAUUGACGGGGGCCCGCACAAGCGGUGGAGCAUGGGUUUAAUUCGAUGCACGCGAUACCUGGUCUGACUCUAUCUGCAAUGAUGCUCGGAUACGGCUGCAUGUGCGUCAGCUCGUCGUUGGUUCCACGCCA